CCUGUACUUGGUGUUACUGCGAAGGGGGGACGGAGAAGGCUAUGUUAGCCGGGCGACGGUUGUCCCGGUUUAAGCAUGUAGGCGGAGGUUCCAGGUAAAUCCGGUACCUUUUUAACGCUGAGGUGUGAUGACGAGGCACUACGGUGCUGAAGUAACAAAUGCCCUGCUUCCAGGAAAAGCCUCUAAGCAUCAGGUAACACGAAAUCGUACCCCAAACCGACACAGGUGGUCAGGUAGAGAAUACCAAGGCGCUUGAGAGAACUCGGGUGAAGGAACUAGGCAAAAUGGUGCCGUAACUUCGGGAGAAGG
rnacentral:rRNA from 1 species